CCUACGGGUGGCAGCAGUGGGGAAUAUUGGACAAUGGGCGAAAGCCUGAUCCAGCCAUGCCGCGUGUGUGAAGAAGGCCUUCGGGUUGUAAAGCACUUUCAGUGGGGAAGAAAGCCUUGGGGCUAAUACCCUCGAGGAAGGACAUCACCCACAGAAGAAGCACCGGCUAACUCCGUGCCAGCAGCCGCGGUAAUACGGAGGGUGCGAGCGUUAAUCGGAAUUACUGGGCGUAAAGCGCGCGUAGGCGGUCUGAUAAGCCGGUUGUGAAAGCCCCGGGCUCAACCUGGGAACGGCAUCCGGAACUGUCAGGCUAGAGUGCAGGAGAGGAAGGUAGAAUUCCCGGUGUUGCGGUGAAAUGCGUAGAGAUCGGGAGGAAUACCAGUGGCGAAGGCGGCCUUCUGGACUGACACUGACGCUGAGGUGCGAAAGCGUGGGUAGCAAACAGGAUUAGAUCCCCCGGUAGUC
rnacentral:rRNA from 1 species